ACGUGCACCUUGUCACCUUGUCACCAAUUUCCUGCCCGGGAUCCCAGAGCUACCCUUCUUGGAGCCCACAGGGGCAGCCCUUGGCUGGUCCCUGUGAGCCCGUGGACACUGCCAGAGAUGUCCUCUUUCAGUUACAGGACCCUGACUGUGGCCCUCUUCGCCCUGAUCUGCUGUCCAGGAUCGGAUGAGAAGGUAUUCGAGGUACACGUGAGGCCAAAGAAGCUGGCGGUUGAGCCCAAAGGGUCCCUCAAGGUCAACUGCAGCACCACCUGUAACCAGCCUGAAGUGGGUGGUCUGGAGACCUCUCUAGAUAAGAUUCUGCUGGACGAACAGGCUCAGUGGAAACAUUACUUGGUCUCAAACAUCUCCCAUGACACGGUCCUCCAAUGCCACUUCACCUGCUCCGGGAAGCAGGAGUCAAUGAAUUCCAACGUCAGCGUGUACCGUGAGUGGCUGUGUGCGGGGCCCUCCUCUCCCCUGGGACAGAGGCUGUGUCUACUGAAUGCACACAGAGCCCCUCUGUGCCUGCUCCUGGGCACUGUCAUCGUGGGGCCCUGCCUCCCUGAGCUCCUGGGGUGACAAGGGGCAGGACCAGGCCAGCCCUUGGUUGGAUGCCUUGAGCCCGCUGGCAUCUCAAGAUGCAGACAACCCACAUUUUGAGUCUUGCUUAGGGGAGGACAAUCUAACCAACAUUUAGCCAAAUCCAGAAGUCAUUUCCCAACAUAGCUGAGUCACCAGAGCACCCCAUGUCCCGUGCCAAGUAGUGGGGUCACCAUCAGGGGAGCUGAGCCUGUCCAUCUCACGGCAAGAAGGUUGAAGUGUCGCCGAGGGUUUUUAUCUUCCCCUCAGGGCCCACAGCAAAUGUGUGGCCAUCACACUCCACCUGCACAUGAGCCAUGAAAACCUUCCAGAUGGGCUGGGAUAGGACAUCUUGGCGCUAAGGGUAUCACCUGGGUCCAUUCCAUCACCAGUUUCAGUGGAUCAAUGAACAGAAAAACAUCUUAAAUCCAACAUAUUUUCUUGGGGUGGGAGGUGGGGUGAGUGGAAGUGAAGUAUUCUAAUUCAAAAGAGAAUCCAGGGCACCCCCUCGGGUGGUUGAAUACGUGAGGAAUCGUGGUGGCCAUGGCCCUGACCCUGGAGAACCUGGGCAGGUCUGGCUCUGGCCUCUGCCUCCUAAGUGAUGAACUUCACAGCUCAGUUCCUCCAGUGCCCAGUUCCAGUGAGCAAUGCCCAUCUAAGUCUCUCUCAACGUGAUCACCCAACUGUUUAAUGUUUGAAAUUUAUAUUUCAUUUCUG
rnacentral:sRNA from 1 species